GGUGCCGGUGAUGAUUUUAUACCGAUUUAUCGGAUAUCGAAGUUAUAACAGGCUGCCACAUUUCAAUGUUUGGUAGAAGUAUUGUACUGUGAAUGGCCAUGGCGAUUUAAAAAAUUUCGAGUGAGAAAAUGGAUAAUAUCUAUAAUAAUUUCAGUAAUUAUAUUAGGGCUAUACUUCGUAACACCAUUUUAUGCGCGAAUGUAUCUUUAUGGAGUCAGUCAGGUACUGUCGUGCCUAUUAGAAAUACUCAUAAUAACACUUUUCUACCCAAUUGGUAGAUUAAUGGACGACAUUACCUUCCACCAUGGUUCUCCACCGGCGAAAUUAAGAUUCUAUACAUUAUUAAUUUUUCCUGUCUAUUACACCUUCAAAUCGUAUAAAAUUUUGCGCUCCCUGAUAACAUUUCCUUCUAUGGAUUUUUACAAACUGCAAUCUUUUAAAACGUUGCAAAGUCAAUUGGGUUCAUUCAUCCAUAUAUAUUGGCUAAUAAGUAUUAUUCCUUUAGCAUUGGGCUUUGUCUAUGCUAUUGUCAAACACGUCUUUAUAAAUAAAAAGAAAUGUAGCAGUCUCCUACGACCGCGACCUACUUGGGGUCCUCGAGACCACGUUACAAGACAACUGAGGAAGCAGUACGACUCCAGAGAUUACAUCCCAUCGCAUGCUUCGCGGUACCUAGCGAGACACAUGCUGGCAAAAGCAGAGGCGGCAACUUAUCGCCUGGAUAUUCGAUACGAGUCAGCGGCUGAACACAAACAAUCUAUUGUCAAGGACUCUUUUAAAAUGGAACAAGAAAAUAAAUAAUAUAGAUUUAAAAAUCGCAAAGCACAUUAUAUAAUUCAUAUAAAUCUAACAAACUCGUGGCAAAAAAUAAUAAAAAUCAAGCAAUCUCAAUCUGA